AAUUUUGCGCAAUGGGGGAAACCCUGACGCAGCAACGCCGCGUGAUUGAUGAAGCCCUUCGGGGUGUAAAGAUCUGUCAGUGGGGACGAAAGAAUGACGGUACCCACAGAGGAAGCACCGGCUAACUCCGUGCCAGCAGCCGCGGUAAUACGGAGGGUGCAAGCGUUGUCCGGAAUCAUUGGGCGUAAAGCGUUCGUAGGCGGUAUAUCAAGUCUGGUGUUAAAGGCAGAGGCUCAACCUCUGUAGGGCACUGGAUACUGGUAAACUGGAAUGCGGUAGAGGUUAAGGGAAUUCCUGGUGUGGCGGUGAAAUGCGUAGAUAUCAGGAGGAACAUCGGUGGCGUAAGCGCUUAACUGGGCCGUAAUUGACGCUGAGGAACGAAAGCCGGGGGAGCAAA
rnacentral:rRNA from 1 species